AGAUUUGCCAGUAGUUGCCAUGCUUGGCGGACGGGUUAGCAACCGCAGUUAGGCUUUUAAAGAUGUUUUAAGAGGGACGCUGCUGCCCAUCACGACACUCACAUGAAAGGAAGGGUGGCUCAUACUAUACCGAGGCAGACGAGAGCGAAUACUUUAUUAGUAGCUGAUCCCUAGUGCGCUGACGUUAAUGAAGCUAUUAUUAAGCUGCGUUUGACGUGAUUUCAAUAAACGGUCGAGAAAGUUGCCGGCCACCUAUCGGAGACAACAAACGCACCCUACGCCUUGAGAUGCAACGCAACUAUGUGUUUUCGAAUCAAUUAUCUUAAAAAAUGUACAGUGUGCAUGUAUACGAAAUAUCCUGACGACUGAUUGAGUCGUUAAGAUGACAAGAGGAAACAAUCAAUCUUCGUUCACAUUUAUAAUAUAAAUAAGGUAAAAGCUUGGGUUUACAGAUUUGCUUUAAACCGCCCCUGUAUUAUAACGAAUAAAACAAAAAAAAUAUUCAGGGAAAAAAUAUAUUUAUAAAUCAGUCAAACCAUUUUUGAGUUUUAGCGAGUCUAACGAACAGCAAUUGAUUUAUAUAUAUUUAUGUAUUAAGUAUUGAUGUAUUAAUUUCUAAUUGUAUAACAACAUUAUAACACUUUUUUACAAUAGUUGAUUUAUUUUAAAGUGCAAGAAUUAUUAAGCUAUCUUUUGUCAAUCUUUUUCAUCGGUACUUACUGUUUGUAUCGGCACAGUGUUUUCCCAGCGUUUCAAAGAGAUUUACAUUAAUGUGAACAAAAAGUAUUUAUAAAACAUUCGACGCGCUUUUACGAAUCCAAUAAGUAUUCAAUUCGUAAUAAAAUUUUGUUUGUAUGCCAGUUAUUUGCAAAUAUUUGCAAACAUUCAUGUGCAUAGGUGAACGUUAUAAUUACAUUUAAUUAAAAUUUUAAAAUGUAUAAGUAUAGACAUUGAAGUAAUAAAAAAAUAUUUAUAUUUAUGCA